GAUGAACGCUGGCGGCGUGCCUAACACAUGCAAGUCGAACGGAGUCCAGCCUUUAAGACCUUCGGGUCAAAGAGGGGAAGACUGAGUGGCGGACGGGUGAGUAACACGUGGGCAACCUGGCUCAUAGAGGGGGAUAGCAGAGAGAAAUUUCUGCUAAUACCGCAUAAGCACACACUGCCGCAUGGCAGAGGGUGAAAAGAGAAUCGCUAUGAGAUGGACCCGCGUCUGAUUAGCCAGUUGGCAGGGUAAGAGCCUACCAAAGCGACGAUCAGUAGCCGAUCUGAGAGGAUGAACGGCCACAUUGGGACUGAGACACGGCCCAAACUCCUACGGGAGGCAGCAGUGGGGGAUAUUGCACAAUGGGGGGAACCCUGAUGCAGCGACGCCGCGUGAGUGAAGAAGUAUUUCGGUAUGUAAAGCUCUAUCAGCAGGGAAGAUAA
rnacentral:rRNA from 1 species